rnacentral:rRNA from 1 species
GUGCCAGCAGCCGCGGUAAUACGUAGGUGGCAAGCGUUAUCCGGAAUUAUUGGGCGUAAAGCGCGCGUAGGCGGUUUUUUAAGUCUGAUGUGAAAGCCCACGGCUCAACCGUGGAGGGUCAUUGGAAACUGGAAAACUUGAGUGCAGAAGAGGAAAGUGGAAUUCCAUGUGUAGCGGUGAAAUGCGCAGAGAUAUGGAGGAACACCAGUGGCGAAGGCGACUUUCUGGUCUGUAACUGACGCUGAUGUGCGAAAGCGUGGGGAUCAAACAGGAUUAG